ensembl:misc_RNA Y_RNA Y RNA
AAGGCUGGUUUAUAGCUUAUCACAACCAGUUACAAAUUUAUUUGUUCCUUCUCCAUUCCCACUGCUUCACU